UUUUAUGGAGAGUUUGAUCCUGGCUCAGGAUGAACGCUGGCGGCGUGCCUAAUACAUGCAAGUCGAGCGAACAGACGAGGAGCUUGCUCCUCUGACGUUAGCGGCGGACGGGUGAGUAACACGUGGAUAACCUACCUAUAAGACUGGGAUAACUUCGGGAAACCGGAGCUAAUACCGGAUAAUAUAUUGAACCGCAUGGUUCAAUAGUGAAAGACGGUUUUGCUGUCACUUAUAGAUGGAUCCGCGCCGCAUUAGCUAGUUGGUAAGGUAACGGCUUACCAAGGCAACGAUGCGUAGCCGACCUGAGAGGGUGAUCGGCCACACUGGAACUGAGACACGGUCCAGACUCCUACGGGAGGCAGCAGUAGGGAAUCUUCCGCAAUGGGCGAAAGCCUGACGGAGCAACGCCGCGUGAGUGAUGAAGGUCUUCGGAUCGUAAAACUCUGUUAUUAGGGAAGAACAAAUGUGUAAGUAACUAUGCACGUCUUGACGGUACCUAAUCAGAAAGCCACGGCUAACUACGUGCCAGCAGCCGCGGUAAUACGUAGGUGGCAAGCGUUAUCCGGAAUUAUUGGGCGUAAAGCGCGCGUAGGCGGUUUUUUAAGUCUGAUGUGAAAGCCCACGGCUCAAC
rnacentral:rRNA from 1 species